UGGCGUCGGCAUCAGACCUUGCCCAAAACUCUCAUCUUCCGUGUUUCUUCUCUGAAAUUUCAACUCCAGAUUAUACCCCCAAUCGAACCCUAAUUCUUUCAUCAUGGACUACCACCGCUGCUGUCCUCUUCGGUGUAGACGGGCUCGAUGCCUCAUCGCGCCGUUGUUGUUAUAGUCAGAUUCCAGCGAGGCAGCAAGGGAUCGCCGCCGUCAUUCCCUCGGCUCGACUGAACAGGCUGAACUCAAGAAGAAAAUGGAGAAGUUUAAGUUGAGCUUACCUCUUGGGGUCCAGAUUGCAGCUGAAAUAAACUCUCUAUGAUUUUUGGUGCAUAAAGGAAGGAGGGGAAAUCGUAGUUGGUGAUUUUCAGGCUACUAUGAAGCCCUCAAUUUAUAGGCAGAUUAGGCCGCAAAACUUGAAAACUAUUUACAGCAAAUGUGGAAAUUUUGCUGCAACUUUUGACAAAAAUGAAAUUGGUUGGUGGCUGCCAUAAUUUUUUUUUGACUAAUAGUGGAAUUUCAUGUGAGACUUUGAAAAGUGGAGUACUCAUAGGGUGCGUCUGAUCCUAGUUGUAUCUUAGCAUGCUUCAAAUAUUAAAUUGUGACUUUUGCAGGGAAAAGAGUAUGACCUUAGCAGAGUUAAAGAAAAGGGGCUGCUAUGCGUGUACUAUCUAUAUUUUAUUUCUUGAUUUUGUAUACUCUAUUGAUAGUGUAGGAGCGUAGGGAGUGUGAAAGAAAAAUGAUGAUUGUAAGUAAAUAGAAUUGAGGUGACUAAUAAAAAUCUCUUGCCUUGAUUAAUUAAUCAAGUAUUUGUAAAACAAA